AUGUCUGAGGCCGUUUAUGAGGAGAUUCAGCACAGACACAAUCACUUCACUCAGAGGGAAGAGAUGAAGGAAAUCAUGCCAGGCUACUAUGAUGAUGUCAUCACUGAUGGACUGAAACCAGAUCGUAAAACAGUGGACUCACCGGAGCAUUAUGAUGAUGUCAUAAUUACUGGACAGAACUUUAAAUGUGUAACAGGUGAGUCACACAGAACUGCUUUUUAUCAUCACCUGCUGUAUUAUAUAUAUAUCAUGUUACAUAAUGAACAUGUAUUUAAAUCAUUAAUGAAUCAUCAGGUUUAUCAGGUUUAAUCGAAUAGUCUCAGACAGUCAUGAGGAGAAAGAGAUAAGUGACACAAGCUGUGUUACACAUUACAAUGUGAGGUUUUAUUUCAUGUGUAUCAGAGGGAGAUCAGGAGGAGUAUGAUGAUGAUGUGAAGAACAGCAAUGAAGAUGAGAGAAACAUGCUGGGUUGGUUAUUGUUACUUUUACAUUUACCUUUUUACAUAAUCUACUUUCAAUCAUUAAUAUUUAUAAUUUAAACCCAAUUUCAACUAAAUAAUGCUGUACUUACAAUAAUUUAAAAAAUGUAUUUG
rnacentral:lncRNA from 1 species